GGAGAUGUAGCUCAGUGGUGGAGAGCUUGCCUAGCCAAUACAAGGCCCUGGGUUCAAUCCCUAACAUAUCUC
rnacentral:tRNA from 1 species